UACGUAGGGCGCAAGCGUUAUCCGGAAUUAUUGGGCGUAAAGAGCUCGUAGGCGGUCUGUCGCGUCGGCUGUGAAAACCCGACGGCUCAACCUCGGGCCUGCAGUCGAUACGGGGCAAACUAGAGUACUGCAGGGGAGACUGGAAUUCCUGGUGUAGCGGUGAAAUGCGCAGAUAUCAGGAGGAACACCGGUGGCGAAGGCGGGUCUCUGGGCAGUAACUGACGCUGGAGGAGCGAAAAGCCGUGGGGAGCGAACAGG
rnacentral:rRNA from 1 species